UUGGUUGACAUAUUUUAAUGGCAAUGCAACCUCUGACUCCAGCAGAGGCACCUAAUACCUCUCUGAAAGCAAAGAGGCAAGCACAACACUGCACAGCAUGGCGCUACCCGUUCUUGCAUCCAGGAAUAGGAACACAGCCAGGGCACCCAGGAGCAUGCUGGCUGCUUCUUCUCAUUAGCACCUGGCAAAGAGCUGAACAAAGAGUCCUUUCAGCAGCACAUUGGCAAAGGGACCCUGCGCAGGGAUGCUCAGCUGGAUGCCUCCAUUUCAACGACUUCAUCCAGGGGCUGGGUCUGCACAUGGACCUUCUUUGGGGGGAUGUAGGAGCCCAUCCCAGCAGCACGCUCUGCCUCCUCCUGUGUAUAGGGCUCCUCACUCAGCUGCUUCAGCCUCUUCUUGUGCACCUUGGAUCUGAAGUGCUCUUUCAUGCUUGUCAGGUCCACAAAGUAGCGCGCGCAGUGCAGGCAGUAGAACUGGGCGCAGCCCGGCAGAUCGGGGUCGGGCUCCUGGCGCAGCAGCCGGGCAGCCCGGCCGGGCUCCAGAUCCGCGUGGAUCUCAUCCAGAUCCCGACGUCGCCGCUUUGUUUUCGCCUGCCGGGCCAGCGAGUGCGCCCGGUGCGCGCCUGUGCGGCGGCUGCUGCGCGGCGACAUGGCAGCCGAG
rnacentral:lncRNA from 1 species